rnacentral:rRNA from 1 species
CGUGGAUGAUGUGGAUAAUCGAUGCAACGCGAAGAACCUUACUACCCUUGACAUGUCCGGAACUUGCCAGAGAUGGCUUGGUGCCCGAAAGGGGAAUCGGAACACAGGUGCUGCAUGGCUGUCGUCAGCUCGUGUCGUGAGAUGUUGGGUUAAGUCCCGCAACGAGCGCAACCCUUAUCAUUAGUUGCUACGCAAGGGCACUCUAAUGAGACUGCCGGUGACAAACCGGAGGAAGGUGGGGAUGACGUCAAGUCCUCAUGGCCCUUAUGGGUAGGGCUUCACACGUCAUACAAUGGUCGGUACAGAGGGUUGCCAAGCCGCGAGGCGGAGCCAAUCCCACAAAGCCGAUCGUAGUCCGGAUUGUUCUCUGCAACUCGAGAGCAUGAAGUCGGAAUCGCUAGUAAUCGUGGAUCAGCAUGUCACGGUGAAUACGUUCCCGGGUCUU